rnacentral:rRNA from 1 species
GACGUAGGGGGCCAGCGUUGUUCGGAAUUACUGGGGGUAAAGGGUUCGUAGGCGGUGUGGCGAGUCGGGAGUGAAAUCUCUGGGCUCAACUCAGAGACUGCUUCCGAAACUGCUGUGCUGGAGUGUGGGAGAGGCGCGUGGAAUUGCAGGUGUAGCAGUGAAAUGCGUAGAUAUCUGCAGGAACACCCGUGGCGAAAGCGGCGCGCUGGACCACUACUGACGCUGAGGAACGAAAGCUAGGGGAGCAAACAGG